AUUGAACGCUGGCGGCAUGCUUUACACAUGCAAGUCGAACGGCAGCACGGGGGCAACCCUGGUGGCGAGUGGCGAACGGGUGAGUAAUGCAUCGGAACGUGCCCUGUCGUGGGGGAUAACACAUCGAAAGAUGUGCUAAUACCGCAUACGACCUGAGGGUGAAAGCGGGGGACCGUAAGGCCUCGCGCGAUAGGAGCGGCCGAUGUCUGAUUAGCUAGUUGGUGGGGUAAAGGCCUACCAAGGCGACGAUCAGUAGCUGGUCUGAGAGGACGACCAGCCACACUGGGACUGAGGCACGGCCCAGACUCCUACGGGAGGCAGCAGUGGGAAAUUUUGGACAAUGGGGGCAACCCUGAUCCAGCCAUGCCGCGUGCGGGAAGAAGGCCUUCGGGUUGUAAACCGCUUUUGGCAGGAACGAAACGGUGCGGGCGAAUACCCUGUGCUAAUGACGGUACCUGCAGAAUAAGCACCGGCUAACUACGUGCCAGCCGCCGCCGUAACAC
rnacentral:rRNA from 1 species